ACCUCGGUGGUGUAGUGGUAGCACGCGUUCCCGGUAUGGACGAAACGCGGGUUCGACUCUCGCCUUAGAUC